rnacentral:rRNA from 1 species
GAUGAACGCUGGCGGCGUGCCUAAUACAUGCAAGUCGAGCGAACGGACGAGAAGCUUGCUUCUCUGAUGUUGGCGGCGGACGGGUGAGUAACACGUGGAUAACCUACCUAUAAGACUGGGAUAACUUCGGGAAACCGGAGCUAAUACCGGAUAAUAUUUUGAACCGCAUGGUUCAAAAGUGAAAGACGGUCUUGCUGUCACUUAUAGAUGGAUACGCGCUGCAUUAGCUAGUUGGUAAGGUAACGGCUUACCAAGGCAACGAUGCAUAGCCGACCUGAGAGGGUGAUCGGCCACACUGGAAGUGAGACACGGUCCAGACUCCUACGGGAGGCAGCAGUAGGGAAUCUUCCGCAAUGGGCGAAAGCCUGACGGAGCAACGCCGCGUGAGUGAUGAAGGUCUUCGGAUCGUAAAACUCUGUUAUUAGGGAAGAACAUAUGUGUAAGUAACUGUGCACAUCUUGACGGUACCUAAUCAGAAAGCCACGGCUAACUACGUG